GCCGAAUACCGCCCUGUUUUUCUUUCACUUCUUUUUUCGCUCACCAUAGAUGGGGGCUCUCGUUACGCAAGAAACAAGCGAAAGACGAACAGUAAGCCUCCCAAUCGGGAGGCUUUUUCAU
rfam:Photobacterium halotolerans strain S2753 contig0007, whole genome shotgun sequence.